rnacentral:rRNA from 1 species
GAUGAACGCUGGCGGCGUGCCUAAUACAUGCAAGUCGAGCGAACAGACGAGGAGCUUGCUCCUCUGACGUUAGCGGCGGACGGGUGAGUAACACGUGGAUAACCUACCUAUAAGACUGGGAUAACUUCGGGAAACCGGAGCUAAUACCGGAUAAUAUAUUGAACCGCAUGGUUCAAUAGUGAAAGACGGUUUUGCUGUCACUUAUAGAUGGAUCCGCGCCGCAUUAGCUAGUUGGUAAGGUAACGGCUUACCAAGGCAACGAUGCGUAGCCGACCUGAGAGGGUGAUCGGCCACUCUGGAACUGAGACACGGUCCAGACUCCUACGGGAGGCAGCAGUAGGGAAUCUUCCGCAAUGGGCGAAAGCCGGACGGAGCAACGCCGCGUGAGUGAUGAAGGUCUUCGGAUCGUAAAACUCUGUUAGUAGGGAAGAACAAAUGUGUAAGUAACUAUGCACGUCUUGACGGUACCUAAUCAGAAAGCCACGGCUAACUACGUG